UACAGAGGUCUCAAGCGUUGCUCGGAAUUAUUGGGCGUAAAGCGCGCGUAGGCGGUUACUUAAGUCGGAUGUGAAAAGCCCUCGGCUUAACUGAGGAAGUGCACCCCGAAACUGAGUAGCUAGAGUACGAAAGAGGGUCGCGGAAUUCCCGGUGUAGAGGUGAAAUUCGUAGAUAUCGGGAGGAACACCGGUGGCGAAGGCGGCGACCUGGGUCGAGACUGACGCUGAGGCGCGAAAGCGUGGAGAGCAAACAGGA
rnacentral:rRNA from 1 species